rnacentral:rRNA from 1 species
UACGUAGGGUGCGAGCGUUAAUCGGAAUUACUGGGCGUAAAGCGUGCGCAGGCGGUUUUGUAAGCCAGAUGUGAAAGCCCCGGGCUUAACCUGGGAAUGGCAUUUGGGACUGCAAGGCUUGAGUGCGGCAGAGGAGACUGGAAUUCCUGGUGUAGCAGUGAAAUGCGUAGAUAUUGGGAAGAACACCAGUGGCGAAAGCGGACUUCUGGGUUGUUACUGACGCUGAGGUACGAAAGCGUGGGGAGCAAACGGG